rnacentral:rRNA from 1 species
UAUCCUUAGUUGCCAGCAUUAAGUUGGGCACUCUAGGGAGACUGCCUGGGUUAACCAGGAGGAAGGUGGGGAUGACGUCAAGUCCUCAUGGCCCUUGCCUAGGGCUACACACGUAAUACAAUGGUGCAUACAAAGGGACGCACCCCGCGAGGGUGAGCAAAUCUCAAAAAGUGCAUCUCAGUCCGGAUUGAAGUCUGCAACUCGACUUCAUGAAGUUGGAAUCGCUAGUAAUCGAAGAUCAGCACGCUUCGGUGAAUACGUUC